rnacentral:rRNA from 1 species
GCGCAGGGCGAGACGCGUGAGGAGCUUUUGGGAUUCCUCGGGUCAGCGUCACUCGAUGAGCUACACGGCACGCCGGCGAUGGAGCUGGUAGGGAAGCUCAACGGCCUGACGCAGAUGUCCUUCGCCUGCGGAGUGUGGGUCGACCGGGGCUGGACGCUGGAGCCAGAGUUCAUGGUCACGGCCGCGUCGAGGUACGCUGCCACCGCAGAGUCCGUGGAUUUCGUCCAGGACGCCGAGCAGGCGAGGCGGGUGAACGCGUUCGUCGCCGACGCGGCCAACAAGCUCAUCCGCUACGUCCUCCCUCCCCGCUCGGUCGACUAGUCCACGGUCGUGGUCCUCGCCAACGCGCUCUACUUCAAGGGGGCGUGGUCUCAGCCUUUCGACCGGUCGUCGACCUUCACCGCGAUGUUCCAUGACCCAGACGGCACCACCGUGCGCGUGCCGUUCAUGACGAUAGACCGGUUCGAGUUCAAGCAGCACGUCGCCGUCUACCCGGGGUUCGGGGCCCUCAAGCUGCUCUACAAGAACGACGACGGUGACCACACGGCCGCGUUCUACAUGCUUCUCCUUCUCCCGGAUGACGGGGCCACCCUCAGUCUGCCCGAUCUCUACGACAAGGCGGUCGAGACACCGGACUUCAUCAAGCACCACACGCCGGCGCACCAGGUACCGGUGGGGCGGUUCAUGGUCCCCAAGUUCUAGUUCACGUUCGAGUUCGAGGCGUGGGCGGACAUGCGGAAGCUCGGAGUCGCCAGGGCUUUCCAGGGCGGCGACUUCUCGGGCAUGGUGAGCGGUGGCGACGGGCUCUUCAUCGGGGUGUACCACAAGGCCACCAUCGAGAUGGACGAGCUGGGCACCGUGGCCGCCGCAGCGACGGCCGUGGUGAUCGCUCAGAGCGCGAGCGCACCAGGGCCUCCGGUGGAUUUCGUGGCAGAUCGGCCAUUCCUGUUCGCCAUUGUCGAGGAGAAAACCGGCGCCGUGCUAGCUAAAUGA